rnacentral:miRNA from 1 species
UCUCUGGCUAACUAGGGAACCCA